GGGUUUGGUAGAAAGCUCCUUGACAGGGAUGGUAUUGCCAUAUCCAACCUCGAACCAGCCUGUUGCCAUCCCUACUAAAUGGAUAGUCAAGAUUACAAUGACCCAACGGUAAUACAAUGGAAGCCCUAAAACAUGCAACGUAUAUAGACACUACAUAACACUAUAGAAGCAAUCUCCAGCCCCUGACGGGGAUGGUAUUGCCAUACCAACCUCGAACCGGCCUGUUGCCAUCCUUACUAAAUGGAUAGUCAAGAUUACAAUGAUCCAACGGUAAUACAAG
rnacentral:lncRNA from 1 species